UAAGGAAUAUUGGUCAAUGGACGCAAGUCUGAACCAGCCAUGCCGCGUGAAGGAUGAAGGUCCUCUGGAUUGUAAACUUCUUUUAUCUGGGACGAAAACGGGAUUUUUAUCUCAAUUGACGGUACCAGAGGAAUAAGCACCGGCUAACUCCGUGCCAGCAGCCGCGGUAAUACGGAGGGUGCGAGCGUUAUCCGGAUUUACUGGGUUUAAAGGGUGCGUAGGUGGGCUUAUAAGUCAGUGGUGAAAUCUCCGAGCUUAACUUGGAAACUGCCGUUGAUACUAUAGGUCUUGAAUUAUCUGGAGGUAAGCGGAAUAUGUCAUGUAGCGGUGAAAUGCUUAGAUACGACAUAGAACACCAAUUGCGAAGGCAGCUUACUACAUAUAAAUUGACGCUGAGGCACGAAAGCGUGGGGAUCAAAC
rnacentral:rRNA from 1 species